AACUGAUAUUGCAGGUCACAUGAUAUAUGCACUGCUGAUAUUGUAGGUCACAUGAUAUAUGCACUGCUGAUAUUGCAGGUCACAUGAUAUAUGCACAACUGAUAUUGCAGGUCACAUGAUAUAUGCACUGCUGAUAUUGCAGGUCACAUGAUAUAUGCACUGCUGAUAUUGAAGGUCACAUGAUAUAUGCACUACUGAUAUUGCAGGUCACAUGAUAUAUGCACUACUGAUAUUGCAGGUCACAUGAUAUAUGCACUACUGAUAUUGUAGGUCACAUGAUAUAUGCACUGCUGAUAUUGCAGGUCACAUGAUAUAUGCAGUACUGAUAUUGUAGGUCACAUGAUAUAUGCUCUACUGAUAUUGUAGGUCACAUGAUAUACGCAGUACUGAUAUUGCAGGUCACAUGAUAUAUGCACUGCUGAUAUUGUAGGUCUCAUGAUAUAUGCAGUACUGAUAUUGCAGGUCACAUGAUAUAUGCACUGCUGAUAUUGUAGGUCACAUGAUUGACACACUGCUGAUAUUGCAAGUCAGAUGAUUUACACAGUGCUGAUAUUGCAGGUCACGUGAUUUAUGCA